rnacentral:rRNA from 1 species
GAUGAACGCUGGCGGCGUGCCUAAUACAUGCAAGUCGAGCGAACUACUCCGGUGGUGAGCGGCGAACGGGUGAGUAACACGUAGGUGAACUGCACAUCAGACGGGGACAACGAUUGGAAACGAUCGUUAAUACCGGACAGGACGAAAGUUUAAAGGUGCUUCUGGCACCGCUGAUGGCUGGGCAUGCGGCGCAUUAGCACGUUGGCAGGGUAAAGGCCUACCAAGGCGACGAUGCGUAGCCGACCUGAGAGGGUGAACGGCCACACUGGGAAUCAGACACGGCCCAGACUCCUACGGGAGGCAGCAGUAGGGAAUCUUCGGCAACGGGCGAAAGCCUGACCGAGCAACGCCGCGUGAAUGAUGAAGGCCUUCGGGUUGUAAAAUUCUGUUAUAAGGGAAGAACGACUUUAGUAGGAAAUGGCUAGAGUGUGACGGUACCUUAUGAGAAAGCCACGGCUAACUACGUGCCAUCAGCCGCGGUAAAAC